AUUUCAGCUAAUCCCCAACCAAGACACACACUCAGAGAGCAAGGGGCAGCCUAUAGACCAGGGCUUCGAGGGCAACAGGGACUUCAGGGUCUGCCUGGUUUGACAGGGCCCGCYGGACCAAAAGGAGAUAAAGGUUACGCUGGCGGGAUGGGCCGGACUGGACGCACAGGUUAUCGAGGCCCCAUUGGUCCACCAGGGAUUCMCGCCUUUGUAGUGUUCAAGACCUCAGAAGAAGAGUGGGAGGCC